CUUGACCGAACCCAGCCACAGCGGGCGGUCGUCCGGGUGGUCCUGGCCGUAGGUGGCCAGCAGGGCCUGGGCCUC
rnacentral:antisense_RNA from 1 species